ACGGGUGAGUAACACGUGAGCAACCUGCCCCUGACUCUGGGAUAAGCGCUGGAAACGGCGUCUAAUACUGGAUAUGUGACGUGAUCGCAUGGUCUGCGUCUGGAAAGAAUUUCGGUUGGGGAUGGGCUCGCGGCCUAUCAGCUUGUUGGUGAGGUAAUGGCUCACCAAGGCGUCGACGGGUAGCCGGCCUGAGAGGGUGACCGGCCACACUGGGACUGAGACACGGCCCAGACUCCUACGGGAGGCAGCAGUGGGGAAUAUUGCACAAUGGGCGCAAGCCUGAUGCAGCAACGCCGCGUGAGGGAUGACGGCCUUCGGGUUGUAAACCUCUUUUAGCAGGGAAGAAGCGAAAGUGACGGUACCUGCAGAAAAAGCGCCGGCUAACUACGUGCCAGCAGCCGCGGUAAUACGUAGGGCGCAAGCGUUAUCCGGAAUUAUUGGGCGUAAAGAGCUCGUAGGCGGUUUGUCGCGUCUGCUGUGAAAUCCGGAGGCUCAACCUCCGGCCUGCAGUGGGUACGGGCAGACUAGAGUGCGGUAGGGGAGAUUGGAAAUUCCUGGUGUAGCGGUGGAAUGCGCAGA
rnacentral:rRNA from 1 species